rnacentral:lncRNA from 1 species
CUGUCAUUAUGCCUAUGAGUUUGGAUAUGUAUUUUAAAUUAUCUUUGUAAUUAAAUCAAAAGAAUUUAUGAAAUUCUUAAACUGGUAAUGUCUGAUGAUAUCUAAAGGUAAGGUUAACUUGAUUAUAGUGGUACGGGAUAGUUUACUUUUAAAAUUAAAGUACAACUCUUGAAACUUUGAUAGCAUGAUUUGAUAUUUUCUCCCUUACU